GGGGAUGUAAAGGUUUCGACGGGGAUUGUGAGCCUCGGUAAGCGAGUAGCGGCACGGCACCGCUAUAAAAGCCGUAGUUUAAAAAUAAACGACAACAAUCAAUUAUCUUACGCUGCUUAAUGCAGCGUCGUUCUUACCGAGAGUACUGCGGCUCGGAUAAGGGCGUCGAUUAGCAGUGAACGUGAUGCGGGUGCGCCUUGACCCGUGUCAGGCAUAAAAGGCUACCGAAACAAAGAGCCUGUCAUCGGGCGCUUUGCGGGGGGAAUCCCAAAACAAUGACUACACUCGUAGAAAGCCUUGGUAAGUGAUUUUCGGACAGGGGUUCGAUUCCCCUCAUCUCCACCA
rnacentral:tmRNA from 1 species